AAAAAAAAAAGCAAGAAGAAGAAAAUUAAAAAGAAUAGAGAAUGGCAAGAUCAAGAUAUAAUAAAUUUAAAACAAAACUUAUAUCGAAAAUACAAAUUAAUGCAAAAUCACAACACAGAUCCUUAUAUACGAGGGUCCUUUUUUAAAUGCCUGAAAUCAUAUCGAAAACAAAGAAGAGCAAAAAUAAGAAAAUUCAAACAAGACAUCAUGAAUAAACUCGAUAAUUUAUAUGAUCAAAAUCCCAAAGCCUAUUGGCAACUACUAGAUAAAAUUAAAAAUAUCUCAAAUAAUAGUCAAAACAAAUCUGAGAAUACUAUCGACC
rnacentral:lncRNA from 1 species